GCCUUGGAGCAACUAGCCUCAGGCACCACAACCAGAGAGUCCAUUCUGUGGCAAGGAAAGAUCCCAAGUGCUGGCAACUAAGACCUGACACAGCCAGUAAACAUAUAUUAAAAACUGUAACAGUAUAAAAAUGCUUCCAAUGAAAAAUGAUCAAAUCGCUCCCGUGUAGACUUUGAUCUCGCUUCCUGGAUUUAGCAUUAUGAACAUUUUCUGGAGUUUUGUAUUAAUAUAUGUGCAUACCCACGUAUAGGUUAUAGAUCGUGUGUGUGUGUGUGUAUGUGUGUGUGUGUGUCUUCCAGAGAAGAGGACUCAUUUCAUUUCUGCUUUGGUUAUAAACAGGUAUUUUUAGCUUUUUAGAAAAAUAUGCCAUUUAAAGUCCACUUCCAUACUCGGCACAAUCUCUUUUUCUUCAAAAAGGUUUCCUGUUUACACUUGGUCCAAGGCUUGGGAGAGGGCUCCAGGGUGGUUAAAAAGCUGCCUUGUGGCUGCAGAGAGGGGCUUCAGGCAGAAGCGCGGAAACCACAGGGGCUCCUCAAACGCCACUGUGCUUGGGAGACUUGAGGGUAAGCCUUCCAAAGAGAUGCUCGCCCAGCCCUGCCUGGGGACCAGCCGGCCCACAGAGGUUAAUCAGGUGGUCGCCAUCUUCUUGAUGAGCUUCACCUGCCUCUCCAGGAAGCGGCUCUCCCGGAAGCCACAGGCGGGUUCUGCGAGGCAGAGCCCAGGGCGCGAAGGUCAACACAGGCCUGGUUCCGGUUCUUCUCCAUGAACAUAGCCCUCUCCAUAAGCGUCAUGGGCCUUACCCACUUCUCUUGAGAUGGCUUCGGCACGUCCUGGAACAGGGAGUGGCCACCACACUGGUUUUGCAUUUUCCAGAGACGCUAACACCCUGGUGCUUCUGCUCAGCCAAUAUGCGGAAAAUAGUGUGCCGCACCCUCUAGAGAGAGUCACCACAGCAACACUUCUUCUCCAAGCAUGACAACCGCACUUCCUUCGACAAGGGCCCCUAUUGCCUGCUGCAGGGAAUCGGAAGGCGGAAAGACCUGGAGCGCUUGUGGCAGCAGCAUACCUUCCUGCG